rnacentral:lncRNA from 1 species
ACAAUGGGCUUCUAAGUCCCCUAGAGUCCCAGCUGUGUAAUUUAAGGCAAAUAUAAUUUCUGACCUACGUAAUGAUGUAUGCACAAGAAGCCUCUCUUGAAUGUAUUAAUUCAGUAAACAGUUAUGGAGUCCUUACAAUGUGCUAGUGGGACUUUGAAGAUGAAUCCAAAUUUGGAUCCUGGCCUGGAAAGGCUCAAAGCCCAAUAUGGGAGCCUGGAUACAAAUGUGAAACUUAUCUUCUUUUAUUAACCAAUCAAUCACCUCCUGCCAAAACAACAUCAGCAAAAACAACAGA